GUUUUACUUCAGCAGCACAUGUACUAAAAUUGGAACAAUGCAGAGGUUAGCAUAGCCUCUAUGCAAAGAAGGACAUAUAAAUUCAUGACAUUUUCUGUAUUUUU